CAGUCAGCAACUGGCAAGUUCAACUGGUGUCUGUGGGGCGCCAGGCACAGCCUCUGUUAACCCUUUCACCGCCCGCCCUGAAGAGUGAACACCAUUCUGCUCCCCACCGAAGAUGGGAAGUGAACUCUCUUUCCUGAUAUGACAGGGACAGGAGAUACCACAAAGCUUCAAGGUCAAGCCCGUGAUUCAUUUUGUGAGUCCCAAGAUUCGAGGUUGAAGUCGAUGAAAGUGACGAGGGAACCUGUAGCCGAGAAUAUGGGGUGUCCAGGCCACCAAACAGAGGGCUCGGGGCUGCUACCGAUGGAAGGCUGGAGUUCUGGGUGUGGAGGUAUUUGUUGUUAGGAGGAUUGGUGGUUUGAGGAGCGUGGCAAGAUUAAUGAAUGAAUGGAGGACUGAAGAGAAGUGUCGAGCUGGGGCAUGGCUCAGUGGAUAGGAAUCCUGACUGCAGAGUCAGUCCAUAAGCGUCAAUGUCCACCCACUCAGCGACUCACUUACCCAGCGACUCACUUGCUGUAGCUUUAUCUUCCCUUCCACAGGUUCCAUAACCUUCCCAAACUUUGCCGGGAGCUGAGGACUGAGUGUUCGAACUCGUGAGCCUGAGCCGAGUGGCAUUUCAUUCAAAGCACAGCGGAAGGAAUGAAGGGGAAGGCUCAGAAAUGAAUCCUCCGGCAGACUCCGAUGACAGGGACAGUCUGUAGGGCCAGGCGGGAACCUAUUGGGUGCAUCGCAGCCCCGUUCCUAUGAAGACACAGCUGAGGCUCUUUGGCACUUUGUUCCUUCCUGUGAUGACACGUUCUUGGACGGUACGGUGGCGACCGGAUGUUGAGGCACCUGUCGUCAGGAAGUGGAGAGCAAUGCAUGCUGAUGCCUUAGCUUGUGUCAAGCUGACAAAACACCAGCCAGCACCCUGGGCCAGGGGCAGGUGUCUGGAGAAUCAUUACCCACAGUUAGCUUCAGGUGAAGCCUCAGUCACGAUCACUUCCUGCAGUGUGCAUCGGACACUUCGGUAAUGCAAGCCACAGUGAACUCUGCGUGACCCUGCAGUCAUUUCCUCUUAGACCUGAGUGGAAGGCGUUUCUUUCAGUGGCUUAGGAGGACUGCUGUGGCUGAUACUGAAGACACAGUGCUGUGAUUGGUGCAAAUCCAAACCCUCAUUUGCAUACAAUGUUUUCUGUCAUUGGUGCAGACUAACCAUUUCUGGCUAUGUAAACACAUCAUUUGGCUCACUUAAGAUGGAUACCAACUCCUCCUAACCAUCCCCCAAUCCCAUGGUGCCUCUCCCAGUUUGUGACAUGAAGGCCAGUGAGAACUCUGGGAUGGUCUUUUCCUGCCUACUUUUAGUUGUGUGACUGAUCUGAUAAUGAAGAAUGGUGCAGUGGCACCAGCAGAGUGACAGUGAUGGCAAACACAGUGUAACCAUAGCCUAGGUGAUAGCUGAGUAGCCUAGGUGGCAAGGCCUGGAUGAUUGACAAGUAAAGAAGCACCAGAGAAACCAUUGUUGGAGAGUGACUGGGGUUGGACCAAGGAUGGUGGCAGAAAUAGAGAAGAUGAAGAGCUGAGGCUGGAGGAAGAUAGAAGGCUCUAGAGAGCCCAAGAAGAGAAUGUGCAGGCCUGGGUUGCUUCAAGAUCCCUGUGUGCUGCCAAGCUUUUAGGGGCAAGGAUCUUGGGCUUCCCAGGCUUGGAGGAUUUCAUAAUAGUUUGAUGUCAGGUGCUGGGGAAUCCUGAUGUGUGGGUGGGCUUGGAAGAUGCAAUACCAACUGAUGCCAAGGACAAAGGAAUCUUGACUUCCUGCACCUACACAAGAGCGGGAACACUUGUUUAGUGAUAGUUAACGGUCUUGUUAUCCCAAGCCUACAACAAGAACUUUAACACUAGAGGCCGUCACCCAUUCCUGAUCCUGACUGCCUACUGUUGCCCACUGUGGUUAAAUACCAGGAAUGUAAAAGUUUUGCCAACAUCAGCACUUGACGGUCUUCUCCUUGCUAACCCACAGUUUCUAUCUAAAUAGAACAAAAGGACCCUUGCCACCUGAUUAUGAAUGAGAAUAUUCUCUCUCUGCACUGUGUUUCCAGCACUAUAGUCACUGGUAGCACAUGGUUGUUGAGCACUAGAAAUGAACCACAAGUUAAUUUUAUCUCAUCUGAGUGAGUUAAAAUUCAUAGAACAUGAUUAUUGUAUUAGGUGGUGUGGUUUGACAUUGGAACUGUACAUAACCCAAAUGAAGAAAUGAAAGCAAUUCCUUGAAUUGCUUGCUGAUAGAUUGGAGCCAGAAGAAGAAAAGACAGUUAAUUUGAAGAUAGCUCAAUAUAAAUUAUACACCAAGAGGAAUAGAGAAAAGAUAAUGAAAAUUGAACACAGCCUCCUAAGUCAGCAGGAUAAAAUCAAGCCAAGGCAGAGAACAUCUUGGAGGGUUCUAGAUGGAGAAGAGAGGGAUAGACAUAGAGAGAUCCACAUGUGGUUCCAUCACAAUCAAAGAGGCAAAGGUCCAAAAAAUAGAGAGAAACUUCAUCAGUAUUCAGAGUUCCCAUCUGGGAAGAAGGGGGCUGGAAGACAUUGAAACAAAGUUUCAUGAAGUAUUGAAAAGAAAAGUCAGUGUCUGCCACCCAGAAUUCUAUACCCAGUUAAACUAUUCCUCAAAAAAUAAAUGGAGAGGCUGGAGAGAUGCCUUAGCUCGUAAGAGUGUUUGCUGUUCUUGCAGAGUGCAUUUGGAUCCCAGUAGCCACACUGGGUCCCUCACAGCUGCCUAUAACUCCAGCUCUGUCUUUUGGACUCUGAGAAAUUGCACUUAGAUGCACAUACCCAGACACAGACACAUACAUCAGAUAACUGAAAGAUAUUUAAGAAUAUUUAAAAGCAAGUAACUACAAAAUAUUGAUCUUCUUGUGAUGUUAUAACAAAAUACAAUAGAUUGUGUAGGUCAAGAAACAGGUUUAUUUUUCAUUGAUCUGGAAUCUGGAAGUCUAAGGUCAGGGUGCUGGAAUGGUUGUGUUCUAGUGAGGGCUUGUUCCCUGGCUUGUGGGUGGGCUGCCUUUUCAAUUCUCCUUCUCUAGACUUUUCCUUCUUUUGUGCUUUGUGCUCAUGUGUAGGUGUGGUGGGGAGAGAGUCCCUCUUCUGUAGCCAUACCUCUUGUUAGAUUAGGAUCUUUCUUAACCUUCAUUCCCUCUUCAAAGCCCUGUGUCCAAGUUCAGUCACAUGACAUCUGGGUUUAGGGUUUAAGCUCUGAUGGCUUAUGGCACAUCCAUAUUAGGAACUAAAUAUCAGUAAGGCCUUUUAUUAGUGAGGGGUUCUGUUGUGUUAUUUUUGUUUGUUUGUUUUUACUAUGACAAGAGAGCUCACAAAAAGCAUCUUAAAGGAGGAAGGGUUUAUUUUGACUUGCAGAUCCUUUGGAUACAGUCCAUCACAGUGGGGGAGGGGGGAAGCAUGUGACAGCAGCAUGAUGUGGCUGUGGUCACAUGCAUCCCCAGUUCAGAAGCAGAGAGAGUGAAGGAAGUGGGGCUGGACUAGCUCCCGCCCCACUGGGCAAGGCCCAUGGCCUCCCGUGAGGCUCUGCACAACCUUCUAAAACAGCUGCUCUGGGACCAAGAGUUCAAACCCAAGGACCUACAGAGGGCAUUUCAUAAGCUACAACAGCUCCUGUAAAUAAACCUUUGAAUGCACUUUGAGAGAAAUGCAGAUUCGGUAAUAUUCUUUGCUGUGUAUUUUAUGAUUCUGGUAAUUAUUAUUUCAUAAAUAAGUAAGUGAGGAGCUAAAUCAUGUUCAAGGAUUGCAUGACUCCAAAAUUACAAAGAUAUAAAUGACCCUUUCACCAUAGUUUCAAUUCAGUCCUAAUCAAAAUUCUCUUAGACUUAAAAAAAGAAAGAAAGAAAGAAGAGAAAAGAAAAGAAAAGAAAAGAAAAGAAAAGGAAA
rnacentral:lncRNA from 1 species